rnacentral:rRNA from 1 species
GCAACGCCGCGUGAGGGAUGAAGUAUUUCGGUAUGUAAACCUCGAAAGAAUGGGAAGAAUAAAUGACGGUACCAUUUAUAAGCUCCGGCUAACUACGUGCCAGCAGCCGCGGUAAUACGUAGGGAGCAAGCGUUGUUCGGAUUUACUGGGUGUAAAGGGCGCGUAGGCGGCGCGGUAAGUCACUUGUGAAAUCUCUGAGCUUAACUCAGAACGGCCAAGUGAUACUGCUGUGCUAGAGUGCGGAAGAGGCAACCGGAAUUCUGGGUGGAGCGGUGAAAGGCGUAGAUAUCAAGAGGACCACCUGAGGCGAAGGCGGGUUGCUGGGCGGACACUGACGCUGAUGCGCGAAAGC